GAAUCCCAAGCAGGCUCCACACUCAGCGAGGAGCCAAUACAUGUGUCCGUCUCACAGCCAUGAGAUCACGAUCUGAGCCCAGAUCAAGAGUCAGACGCUUAACUGAGCCACGCUGGCACCCAUGGCCUGAACGAUGACUCGAGCUGUGCCUCAGUUUCCCCAUCUGAAACCGGAGACGACAAGCCCCGCCCGCCCCGAGACCGGUGUGAGGACUGUGAGUCAGUGUGUGAAACGCCCUGGGAAACACUGGGCGUGCGGCUGGUGCUGGGAAUCGUGCGUGGCGUCCAGAUGGUGCCGAAAACUCCCCCGAAGUCGUGCGCGACACGCAGUCAGAGCAUCACUCGUCACACCCUCCACACCCAGCAAGCACGCGUCAGCACACAGACACCCGGCUGGCACUUGGUACGCAGCAAGAAAAGCACACUGCCACGGAACACACUGGCACUUUAUAUAUACACGGCGGAAGGUACAGGGUCUCGAUAAGAAAAUACACUCUGUGUUCAGGUGCACCCCACCACCACCCCCUCGAAACACCCCAGGUGGAGGACGGAGGGAAGGGGACAACCAUAAAUAGAGAAUAGAAGGGAAGGUUACUGCUCUAAGGGGCAAACACAGGCGGGGGACACACGGCCGGGGCGAGACACCACCUCUUCUUCCCCGGGAGAGAGCAAUAUAGCGGCACAGGAGAACAGCA